UUGGUCAUUUAGAGGAAGUAAAAGUCGUAACAAGGUCUCCGUUGGUGAACCAGCGGAGGGAUCAUUACUGAGUUUACGCUCUAUAACCCUUUGUGAACAUACCUAUAACUGUUGCUUCGGCGGGUAGGGUCUCCGCGACCCUCCCGGCCUCCCGCCUCCGGGCGGGUCGGCGCCCGCCGGAGGAUAACCAAACUCUGAUUUAACGACGUUUCUUCUGAGUGGUACAAGCAAAUAAUCAAAACUUUUAACAACGGAUCUCUUGGUUCUGGCAUCGAUGAAGAACGCAGCGAAAUGCGAUAAGUAAUGUGAAUUGCAGAAUUCAGUGAAUCAUCGAAUCUUUGAACGCACAUUGCGCCCGCCAGCAUUCUGGCGGGCAUGCCUGUUCGAGCGUCAUUUCAACCCUCAAGCUCUGCUUGGUGUUGGGGCCCUACAGCUGAUGUAGGCCCUCAAAGGUAGUGGCGGACCCUCCCGGAGCCUCCUUUGCGUAGUAACUUUACGUCUCGCACUGGGAUCCGGAGGGACUCUUGCCGUAAAACCCCCCAAUUUUCCAAAGGUUGACCUCGGAUCAGGUAGGAAUACCCGCUGAACUUAAGCAUAUCAAUAAGCGGAGGAA
rnacentral:rRNA from 1 species